AUUGAACGCUGGCGGCAGGCCUAACACAUGCAAGUCGAGCGGAGCGGCGGACGGGUGAGUAAUGCCUAGGAAUCUGCCUGGUAGUGGGGGAUAACGUCCGGAAACGGGCGCUAAUACCGCAUACUAUCAGAUGAGCCUAGGUCGCAUUAGCUAGUUGGUGGGGUAAAGGCCUACCAAGCCGACAAUCCGUAACUAGUCUGCGAGGAUCAUCAGUCACACUGGAACUGAGACACGGUCCGGAAUCCUACGGGAGACAGCAGUGGGGAAUAUUGGACAAUGGGCGAAAGCCUGAACCAGCCAGGCCGCGGGUGUGAAGAAGGUCUUCGGAUUGUAAAGCACUUUAAGUUGGGAGGCGUUACCAACAGAAGAAGCACCGGAUAACUUCGUGCCAGCAGACGCGGUAAUAA
rnacentral:rRNA from 1 species